rnacentral:lncRNA from 1 species
UCUCUGCCUUUGCCAUAAGAUGCCAAGAUGACCCAGCAUAAGGAAAUUAGCUUCUGCUUUCCUUACUGGACAUGCCUGUAAAUUACUGGAUGCAUGUCUGAAAAAAAACUCACGCUGGUGAGUGCAAGCUGAACCCAAAAGGAAGCUGGUGGCAUUCACACAUCCUUGCAAAGAGGAAUUAAAAAGCAACAUGCCUCUCUGGGAGAGGAUAACUGCAUUUUAGAGAAGUUCAUGCAGAGAAAAGGAAGAUCUCAACUGACUUCAUUGUAUGAUUUUGGGAGGAUACACUAACUACUGCUGGCAACCUAUGGGAAGCUUGAGAGUCACCUUAAGCAACGUUCCUCUGUGGUUCACUAUUCAGACCAAUUGGCCAAGGUAA